rnacentral:rRNA from 1 species
UACAGAGGGGGCAAGCGUUGUUCGGAAUUACUGGGCGUAAAGGGCGCGUAGGCGGCCCGCUAAGUCGAACGUGAAAUCCCCAGGCUCAACCUGGGAACUGCGUCCGAUACUGGCAGGCUUGAAUCCGGGAGAGGGAUGUGGAAUUCCAGGUGUAGCGGUGAAAUGCGUAGAUAUCUGGAGGAACACCGGUGGCGAAGGCGGCAUCCUGGACCGGCAUUGACGCUGAGGCGCGAAAGCGUGGGGAGCGAACAGG